rnacentral:rRNA from 1 species
AACGAACGCUGGCGGCAGGCCUAACACAUGCAAGUCGAGCGCGCCCUUCGGGGUGAGCGGCGGUCGGGUGUGUAACGCGUGGGAACGUUCCCUUCUCUGCGGAAUAGCCUCGUGUAACUGAGAGUAAUACCGCAUACGCCCUUUGGGUGCAAGAUUUAUCGGAGAAGGAUCGGCCCGCGUUGGAUUAGGUGGUUGGUGGGGUAAGGGCCCACCAAGCCGACGCUCCCUAGCUGGUUUGAGAGGAUGGUCAGCCACACUCGGACGGGGACACGGCCCAGACUACUACGGGAGGCGGGAGAGGGGAAUCUAGGAAAACGGGGGGAACCAAGAACGAGCCAGGGCGGGAGAGUGAUGAAGGUGUGAGGGUAGAAAAGCAGUUUAAGAUGGGAAGGUAAUGACGGUACCAGAAGAAGAAGCCCCGGCUAACUCCGUG